CUUGUUCUCUGGACAGUAACAUUACCAGUACUGGUGGCUAUUUGGGAUAAAUAGAGCAUGAAUGAAGGAUUGUCACACAUAACUCAACUCAAGUGGAGGUACCAAGAAGUAGUGAAUGCCACCAAUGGCAGGUGGAAGACAGAAAGAGGAACUGGAAAGCUCUGGAGAAAAGACAGGCUUUGAAUAAGGAGGCAUUCAUUUUCAACUAAAAAAUCUGAGCGUUCACUACCAACUAAUCUAAAGCAGAAAAUUUUGAAGCUGGUCUGAAACCCUAAGAACCUUAAAGGUGAUCCAUACAUUCAUCAAUGACAGUGAGACUUUUUAAAAUCACCCCUCCCUUUCCAUUCCAUUAGCAACAACAAAGGUGCCUGUCUCUCAGUUCUUUCCCUGAAACCCUGGGAUCCCUUCUGAUCUCUCUUCCCUUCCUGCUUCCGUCUGGCCAUAAAGCCCAACAUUCCCGCCAGAGCUGACCGCUAGGCGGUGCCGUGCCUUCCACCCCGCUUGUUUCUGGGGGGAGAGAAAGCAUUUGGAGCCUGCUGGGCGGUGUAAGUCUCUUACCAUUUGGACUUCAUGAGA